rnacentral:rRNA from 1 species
UGCNAGUCGAGCGAACCGAUGGAGUGCUUGCAUUCCUGAGGUUAGCGGCGGACGGGUGAGUAACACGUAGGCAACCUGCCUGUACGACCGGGAUAACUCCGGGAAACCGGAGCUAAUACCGGAUAGGAUGCCGAACCGCAUGGUUCGGCAUGGAAAGGCCUUUGAGCCGCGUACAGAUGGGCCUGCGGCGCAUUAGCUAGUUGGUGGGGUAACGGCCUACCAAGGCGACGAUGCGUAGCCGACCUGAGAGGGUGAACGGCCACACUGGGACUGAGACACGGCCCAGACUCCUACGGGAGGCAGCAGUAGGGAAUCUUCCGCAAUGGACGAAAGUCUGACGGAGCAACGCCGCGUGAGUGAGGAAGGUCUUCGGAUCGUAAAACUCUGUUGUCAGGGAAGAACCGCCGGGAUGACCUCCCGGUCUGACGGUACCUGACGAGAAAGCCCCGGCUAACUACGUGCCAGCAGCCGCGGUAAUACGUAGGGGGCAAGCGUUGUCCGGAAUUAUUGGGCGUAAAGCGCGCGCAGGCGGCUUCUUAAGUCAGGUGUGAAAGCCCACGGCUCAACCGUGGAGGGCCAUCUGAAACUGGGGAGCUUGAGUGCAGGAGAGGAGAGCGGAAUUCCACGUGUAGCGGUGAAAUGCGUAGAGAUGUGGAGGAACACCAGUGGCGAAGGCGGCUCUCUGGCCUGUAACUGACGCUGAGGCGCGAAAGCGUGGGGAGCAAACAGGAUUAGAUACCCUGGUAGUCCACGCCGUAAACGAUGAGUGCUAGGUGUUUGGGGAGUCCACCUCCUCAGUGCCGCAGCUAACGCAAUAAGCACUCCGCCAUGGGGAGUAC